GCAUGAACAGGUGGGUGUGGUUGUUGUCGGGGUUGUACUUGGAGAUGGAGACAGCGACCGGGACCUUGAGUUCUUCAGACUCCAGGUCCAGCUCCACGGGGCAGCCCAUACAGAUCCUGCGGUCCUUCUUCACCGGCCUUCUAUCACACUCCACCCCCUGUGUGCUGGUGGCCUCCUCGCUCACAUAGACCGUGGCAUUGCACAUGAUUGGCUCCUGUUGGGUUCACAGACACAGACAGCUUAUAUAACAUAUUAUUAUCAUUAUAUCUGAUAUUCGAUAUUUAAGGCAGAUAAAUAAAUAGAUGGAUAGAUUAAUCUUUUAGCAUGAUAAGUAUAUGACUUAUUAAUAUUACUAUUAUUAUUAUAUAUGUUUUUUGCCAUUACCUUUAAAUCAUCAGCCGAGUAGCCACAGUCAGUCCAAGUCACGGCGCCCCCUGCUGGACAGUCACUCUUCCUGCUGUUGAACUUAAUUGAGUACAUAACCCCAGAGGCGUUCUCUGCCUACAGAGGGGACACACACACACACACACACACACACACACACACACACACACACACACACACACACACACACACACACUCAC